rnacentral:lncRNA from 1 species
CGUUGUGAAGACAAUUCUGUCGUUCUAUCAAGGAAAUAUGAAUGGUUCCCAAAAAUAAUCCACCCAUCCGUCAAAUACAAUAUUUAGCAGAUUAUUUAUUCGGUGAACGUUCUUGGUCAAUUUUGCAAAACAGAUAACACAGAGGUCGAAAGGUCGCAUAUUCAUCAUGUAUGAGGAAGAUAAUAUACGAUACGAUACGUGUCCAUUGUGAUCUAUAAGGUAACAGAAGAUGAAGACAAGAAAAGCUGAAGGAUCUGGCGUCUCUUUCGGCACUUCCACGUGAACAUAACACCAGAGAAGACACACCUGCAUUCCCCACAUUAUAUAUCUCUGGAUUCUUCUUUCUUUGAUUCCAUAUGAAAGCGAACGGUGGGUACGUUUGACCGUGGCAGUCUAAACGGCUUCCAAUACUAAUUCCAGUAAUUCCUCUUCACGGGCCAUCCUCGUUUCCCAUCUAAUCGGUCAGAUCUCUGGGAACGGUCGAAAAGGUCUUGGAAAAAAAGGAAAAGAAGCAACAGGUAUGCCUGGAGACGGUAAGAGCGAGUACAAAAGCGACGACAGAUAAUCCGAUGCGACUGUGUACGAGUCAAAGAUCUCGUAUUGGAUCGGAAUAGGCACGUACAUAUAUACCUAACUUGGAAGGCAUCUAAUGCGGUUAAGGAAUUUCAGUCUGCUGUCGGGAGCCACCGAUGGAUUGGGCUGCGGAUAAUCUCGACAAAAACAAGAUUACACGUUUACGUAAUGAACCGACUUGAACAAUUGAUAUUACACCGUCAUUCUUGGCAAUUAUCUAUCUGGAGAUCAAUUGGAAGACCAAGGUGACUAAAAGGACUGGAAACGUGUCGAAGGAAACUGCGGCAAAAUCGGAUUCCUGGCAUGGUCGACCUGAUUCUGCGACUGAGUCCAACGUGUCCGAAGCCAGGGAAUGCAAAGUCUCGCGGUUAACCUGGAUAUAUCUGCGCAUCCAAGCCAAACUAGGAUCCUGGACUUACCCAGAUCUAAGUCAAAGAAACGAUCAACAUGAGAAACCGGUUGAAACUAAUCCAGAACAGUACGCUUGCGUGUCUUAAAAAAGUGAUGAUUCCUGAUUACAUGA